UAGUAACGGCGAGUGAAGCAGCAAUAGCUCAAAUUUGAAAUCUGGCGUCUUCGACGUCCGAGUUGUAAUUUGUAGAGGAUGCUUCUGAGUAACCACCGACCUAAGUUCCUUGGAACAGGACGUCAUAGAGGGUGAGAAUCCCGUAUGCGGUCGGAAAGGUGCUCUAUACGUAGCUCCUUCGACGAGUCGAGUUGUUUGGGAAUGCAGCUCUAAAUGGGAGGUAAAUUUCUUCUAAAGCUAAAUAUUGGCCAGAGACCGAUAGCGCACAAGUAGAGUGAUCGAAAGAUGAAAAGCACUUUGGAAAGAGAGUUAAAAAGCACGUGAAAUUGUUAAAAGGGAAGGGAUUGCAACCAGACUUGCUCGCGGUGUUCCGCCGGUCUUCUGACCGGUCUACUCGCCGCGUUGCAGGCCAGCAUCGUCUGGUGCCGCUGGAUAAGACUUGAGGAAUGUAGCUCCCUCGGGAGUGUUAUAGCCUCUUGUGAUGCAGCGAGCGCCGGGCGAGGUCCGCGCUUCGGCUAGGAUGCUGGCGUAAUGGUCGUAAUCCGCCCGUCUUGAAACACGGACCAAGGAGUCUAACAUCUAUGCGAGUGUUCGGGUGUCAAACCCCUACGCGUAAUGAAAGUGAACGGAGGUGAGAACCGCAAGGUGCAUCAUCGACCGAUCCUGAUGUCUUCGGAUGGAUUUGAGUAAGAGCAUAGCUGUUGGGACCCGAAAGAUGGUGAACUAUGCCUGAAUAGGGUGAAGCCAGAGGAAACUC
rnacentral:rRNA from 1 species